rnacentral:lncRNA from 1 species
CUUUUGCUCAGCAGUGCAUCGAUGCUGCUUAGAGAAACAGCAGCCGCUCAGAGCGGGAGGGAUGCCAGCCACCCAGAGUGAGCAGGCGGUGGGUUGAAAUAAGGGCGGAAGAAGAGACGUGUCUCUGAGAUGGGCAGAUCUUGGAGCUCGGGGCCUGGCUCUGCUUCAGUGGCAAGAAAUAAAAACUUAUUUUCUUGCCUCUGUCUUUACAGAUCAGGACCACGCUCUCUGUCUGCAGUACAAGGACUUCGUGUUGACCACCCUGCUUGGAUUAAGGAGGAUGCAAGGCAGGAGGAGCAGAGGGCUUAGCCAAGAUGUCUGUCAUCUCCCUUCAGAAAGCAUGAGCUGUUGCUAAGAGCUCUGGAGGUGCUGUACUGAAGCUUUGCUGAUGUGCUGAUCCCUGCGACCAAUUCCUCUGAAGCAGGCUGCACCGUCAACCUGGAGACAGCUCCUCCAGGGUGAGAUCAGCUGCACCUUUAGGAGAGUCUCCAGAUGGCUCUUCGGGGAGAGAAGUUAGAGACUGAUCAACGUCCAAAAAAAGUAUCUCAUCGGGUGGCAAAACACCGGCUUCACCUUGUUGUGCCUCCCAAGGACAACUUGAAAAGGGCAAAGUGGAGCUGCCCCCGUUCCCCUUGUGCGGGGCUCAGAAGACUGCUCACGAGCUCUGGUGGCAGUGUGACCUCAGGAGCUCUCCAGGAUGCGCAGUCUGGGGUUUUAUGCCCAAGCCUGUCCCGUGCUUGGCUAACGGCCUCGCUAUGUCGCAGGAUACUGAGCAGAGCUGCUGGGGCGUGCUAG